GACUUUCCUUAUGAUAUCAGUGGUUAAGGACUGCAAUAUUUUAAAAUGUUGUUUAAUGAAAUAUGUUAUUUGGAAGAUGGGCAUAACUCAGUAAAUCUAGGCUUUGCAAAUGACCAAUGCAUGAUGUUGCAAAAUCAAGCAAAGGCAAAAGAUCCUUUGAAAAUUCCAGACAUAGCAAUGGAUUUUAACAGUAAAAAAGUGGAUUGAUGUGGUUUCAGAUUCCAAAAUGUUAACUGUCCUUUAAGAAACUACUAUUUGGCCUAGCGUGAGCCACCACGCCCAACUGAAAAACGUAUUUUUAUAUGUAACCAAGGGGAGGAGAGCAGAAAAGAGACACUAACCUAUUGCUAGGUGUUAGCAGAGUUAAAAGAAAUUGAAAGCAUAGAAAUGGAAUUUAGGCAACAC
rnacentral:lncRNA from 1 species